GAUGAAGAACGUAGCGAAAUGCGAUAAGUAGUGUGAAUUGCAGAAUUCAGUGAAUCAUCGAAUCUUUGAACGCACAUUGCGCCCGCCAGUAUUCUGGCGGGCAUGCCUGUUCGAGCGUCAUUACAACCCUCAGGCCCCCGGGCCUGGCGUUGGGGAUCGGCGGAGCCCCCCGUGGGCACACGCCGUCCCCCAAAUGCAGUGGCGGUCCCGCCGCAGCUUCCAUCGCGUAGUAGCUAACACCUCGCGACUGGAGAGCGGCGCGACCACGCCGUAAAACACCCAACUCUUCUGAAGUUGACCUCGAAUCAGGUAGGAAUACCCGCUGAACUUAAGCAUAUCAAUAAGCGGAGGA
rnacentral:misc_RNA from 1 species